UGUAAUCCUCCUCAUAAGUACUCUCUGUUGGACUGCAUUAUUUCACGAUGUAGACACCGUUGUCGAUGACCACCGUGUCGGAAGUCAUCAUCGCCGCCGCGAGGGUUAUUUUUUACCUCAUUUUUUCAUAUAAGAUCGAUGCAUCAUGAAUCUUCCGAGGACGCGAAGCAAAGAAUGAGUUAAAACAGUUGUAAAGCGGAGGCAGUUCAAGAUUUUCUCCUCAAAGACCCAACUUUCAAGAUCAGUAUUUGAUGUUGAUAAUAGCCCGAAAUCUUUGCUGCUUUUAAGUGGAAUAACAAUGUGCCUGGUUUAUAUGAAUUAAAGGCUCUAGAAAUCAUUGCAAAGAUGUAACAAAAAAAAAUCAAUGCAAAGGAAGAGAAUGGCAAGAGGAAAUGAAGAUUGGUCAUUGAGUUCUCUGCCUAAUGGUGAAGGAAAGAGGGCAAGAGAAUUGAGUGAAAUUGAAAGGAAUGAAGGGCAAUUUAUAUUGUUUAGAUUUUGUACAAAUAAGACCAAAUUGUCCUUCUACUUGCUCUCCAAGUUUUGUAUUAACAUAAUUUAUUUAUUAAUUUUAAGUAAUACAUUGAAUCUGGACAA